GGUUAGAAGACCCAACUGCCAAAGGAGGCGGAGGUCACCGUUUGUCAGCUCGCUAGCGCGAAACAUGCGCCCUCGAGGAGACCGCAGAGAAAACCCCGAGCGGCGGCCGUUCGCCCUUCCGAGCGGCAUCUGCGAUUGAAAUGACAGCACGAGAGACGGGACUUCGACGUGCCUGAGCGAUGGGCCGUCUUAGGGAGGAGCGGGAGGUGGGCCUGAAGGGGUUAGAAGGCAGUGCACCCAAGCCAAUGCACACGACGUUCCCUCAGAGGGCCGGCAUUUACAGACAGAGACCACGGAGGAGGGAGAGGCGACCGAUUUCCGUCACUGACACUUGAUGAUGAUGAUGAUCGGGGGAGGGGGCGCUGGGAGAGACCGGAUCUCUCGCUCUGCCGCCUGUCAUGUCCUCCCUGUCAGAACAAAGAUGACGACGCGUGCUGCUGCUUCGUGUUUAGUCACUUCCUCGCCUUGCCAGAGCAGUUGCUUUUGAGGAGCCUCGCGGCAGCGUGUGCGUGAGAGGAAGGGGGUGAGGGACAAAGUGAAGAGCUGCCAUUUAUAUUAGAGAUCAUAUGUAUAAAAGCGUGGUGGUGCUCAGCCUUUAAAUCCGUUUUAUUCUCCAUCGACGUCGCUAGCCCAGUCCUAAACUGUUUGGUCCUGGGGGUGCAUUAUAGCUGAGUGGCUUCCAUGAUCUCUGUGGGUCAGCUGCACACACGGAGUUCAAAUGAAAGUUGAGGUAACAGGGAAAUGAUGUUCACGUUUGGCGGAGAAUCCUGCCUGUCUUUCGCCAGACAUCAUACAAAAACACUGUGCCCAGUUUGUUUGAAGGUCCAUGCCUGUGUUAUGUAUAGAUCUGCACCAGGACUAUGUCUGGAAGUAGGAGGAACAGUGAUCCACUAUGGUUCCAAUGUGAUACAAAUGUCAAAAAUUACAGGAAACACACAUCCUGGUACAGUCAUAGCAUCAAUGAUGACAGUAUUAUGGAACCACGAGGCUUCCUAAUUCUAUUCAUCAUAAGUGGUACCUUGGGUUACAGACGCUUCAGGUUACAGACACUUCAAGUUACAGACUCCACUAACCCAGAAAUAGUACCUCGGGUUAAGAAUUUUGCUUCAGGAUGAGAAAGAAAUUGUGCUCCGGCGGCGGCGGGAGACCCCAUUAGCUAAAGUGGUGCUUCAGGUUAAGAACAGUUUCAGGUUAAGAGCAGACCUCCGGAACGAAUUAAGUACUUAACCCAAGGUACCACUGUAUUGGCGCCUUACUGAACACAGCUUCCGCCUAAAUCAGAGCUCCUGAUUUAAGGUACACUUAAGCUGUUAUUUCCACCUUCUGCUCAUUGGCACUGUAUUCCUGAAGAGGGGCAGAUACUGCCUUCAACAUGUUCAGUUCUCUCACACCGGCUUUCACAGGGUUUCCCUAUUACGCAUCCUCUCAUUUUGCCAGGUGCAAAUACUAUAAUGCUUUUUCUUAGGCUAAUCCACACCCAUUGUCUUCCAAGACACUUGUACUAAACUUAGAAGUGACAUGAAUAGAGUGCACUCUGAAGUAGUGCUACCUCUUGCUCAGUCUUAACACAACGCUCUUCACAUACAAUUGCAAUAAAUGUUCACAUAAAAAAUGUGUCAUAAUAUGUGACAGAAAAAUGUAAAUGUUACCGGGGUGGGAACAUUUUAAAAUAUUAGGCAUCCUGCUUCAUUGCUCCCAGCUCAUCCUAAAUCUGCCUCUGGAGUCUGACUGUUGAAACUUGUGCUUGGCACAUCUGAAUGAUCUUUCAUGUUCUUCAGUAAGUCCUAGCCUUAUAACAUUUUUCUUCUCUUGUGUCUUCUCAUAUCACUGGCAAAGCUUCCUGGGUGAGGUAGGGCUGGCUAAUCUUCACUGUCACUGUCCAUGGAUGGAGCAAAAGAUGCAAUUUCAAAAGCACAAUAUUUACUCCAAAAUCAAUAACACAGAGGAGACUUGCUCACAAUACUCUUUCUGAUCAAAGAAAGCUUUUUCUGACCAAAGAGAUGUGGUGAAAGGGUUGUGGAGAAAGACUAAGUUCCUUGUUAUGUCUUAUACAAUGAAAGACGAAAAAGGACAUGAUAAAAGUUUUUCCUAAUCAUAAAAAAAAUCAUAAAAUCAUUUAUUCUCUUUAAUCACAUGGCUAGCACAAGAAGAAAGAAAUAUAGAGGACAACAAUGCAAUGGAAAGAGAACAAAAAAGGAAACAAAACCAAUUUUAUUAAAUGUUUUCUACCUGCAUUAUGAGUUGGGCACUCUCAUAAACAAUCCCAGUACUUAAUGGGGGUCCCCAUCAAUGCUUAAAGUAGUAAUAUUUCAAAUUUAUGUUUGAGAUUCUUGGUGAAUUUGAGCAUAUAUAAUUCAAUAGAGCAUGUGAUAUAAAAAUAGGUACCUUUUUCUACCUUAUCAGAUUUCCUCUGGUAAGCUACCCAAAUACUUGGGUAGUGAGGACAUGAUGGGCCAGACUGUAAUGUUUCUUUUUAAUUCUGUGCCUUAUGCACACAUACAAAUGAUUUUAAAGAAACACGCCUGGGAUGUUUGAAGUUAUGGUGAUAGGUUGGGGCCUGGCAGUGGGUAGGGUGAGGAGAGGCAAAGCAGGGCACACUGCCUACUAUAGAACGGCCCAAGAGUCAGUCAAAAGAAUCCUAUCAGAUCUGUUGAAAUGGCUAUACAGUAUACUACUUUAUGCUGUUUCUUAUUUAGCCUCAGUUUGCCUCCCUCCCGGCAAAGUUCUUUUUUAAAGAAUGCAAUCAAAUAAGAGUCACUGCAAUAUUUAUUUCCUUUCUGAAUGCAGCUGAGUAUUACCUUAUGCCAGAUAUAUUUAGGUCAAUUGAAAAAUCAAAACAAUGAACAGACGCAUCCUGCAGACUAAUUUAUGUGAUUCUCUUGCAUGUCUUCCCAGUAGGAGAGAAUAAAAAUACAUCACAUAUACAAAAUUCUCCUUCUCUCUGCAGAUCAGUGUCCUCAUCUGUACUGAUCACUGUGGCUCAGCAAGACUUUCCCAGACAUUUUAAAAAUUGCAUUUGGGAACACAGCUUUUUGGGACUAGCAGAUGUGUUCCACUCAAUUCUUCGUUUCCUAGCUCCUAAGUGCAAAUGGUAACUAUAAAAAACUAAUGAGAUAAGUUCUUAAGGUUCAGACACUGAACCUGGUGAUCUCACUCUCUUUGAAAUGCCAUUUUUAAUGCUACAGUUUUGCUUCUUCCCUGGAAAUAAUUAUAUCCUUUUGUUCCCAUAAACAAGAGAAGAAGGUAGCAAAUUCAGAUACACAUUUCCUUUCAUUUACCAGGAGGCCUUAAAUACAAAUCUGGCAAACCCUGUGGUCUGGUGGUGUGGUUUCUUAAUUCUAGAUCAGUAGUCUAGAACAAUAUUCUCAUCCACAAUUUUAUUUUAUUGUGGAUGAAAAAGUUUACCUAAUUCGGCAGUGUCCACCAAGGUUUAGUACCCAUCUGGCCAUUUUUUAUAGAAGCACCAUCUCCCUGAUCAGAAAACCUAUUGAUCCUGGAACAGGCUUAAAGAGUUUGCACCUGGUGUUGAGCCAGAGACACAGAUUGGGCAUAUCAACCCCAUUGCUGCCCAGUGCCCUUCCUGACCAAGUUGGCCAAGAUGGUAUCUGGCAUGGUAUUGGAACACCACAGGAUGAUAAUUUUAGGUGACCCCAGAAUCCAUAUGGAUGCUGCUGUUGGGUUGAUUUGGGACUUCAUGCCCCCAUGAAAACUAUGGGGUUUUCUCAAAGGGUCAUUGGUCCAACAAAUCAAGCAGGGUAUACCCUUGAUGCAGUCUUCUUCAAGUGAUUUGAGGGAUGAAGCAAUGAACUCCCUUGCCACAGCCACACCAUUAUCUGGUGACCUUUGGAUAGGUGGUGACAAUUUCCCUCCCACUCCUGCAAGAGUGAAGGCCUUUGGGUGGUGUUUGGAUAGCCUGCCCCCAGAGACUGAUAGGACAUGACACAUUCCUGAAUGCUCUAGGGUUCUUUUCAGAGGGGAAAGGUGAUGAUUUUGUCUAAGCUCUAGUCUCACGAUGGAAUGGUGAGAUGUGAUGGAUGGUCGACACUUGAGUACUGUCUCCAGUGGCUCCUUGAUACACUGGGCAGCUGCAGGAUAUGAAGCAAGCCAGAUGAAUGACUAGAGUGCAACUGACACAAGUGAAGUCAAUCGAGAGGAGGUCAGUGCACAUAAUGUGGCAGUGCAAGUAGUGAAGAAGGCUCAUUUCACAGUCUCUUGUAUCCUCCAGCAGGCAGAGCUCUUUUGGGUGGCCCAGAGGUUGCUGAGAGCUGAUGGGACUGGGUCUGGCUUUAGUCACCCUGGUGGGCGACCUUGGCUGAGAGUGAAGCAAGGGUCGCACAUUACCAAGGUCCAACCCUGUUGGGAGAGUGUUUCUAAUGUCCCAGGCAAUAAAUAACACUACAGGGUGCCACAAGGCAUUAUCUUGUUCCCUAUGCCAUUUAACAUCUACAUGAAGCAAUUGGCAGCAGUCAUUAGGAACUUUGGGGCAAGAUGCCACCAGUAUGUUGAUCACACUUUGUUCUAUGUCACUGACAUCUGGAACAGCAGAAGCUGUGCACGCCUUGGACUGAUGCCUGGGUGCAAUGGUGGGCUGAAUAAGGGAAAAUAAACUGAACUUGAAUCCUGGUAAGAUGGGGGUCGCUGUGAGAGAGUAGGUCCUGUGUCUGACAAAUUGGUCGGUUGCCUGCUUUGGAUGGGGUUGUACUCUUACCUUUGGUCCCUUACCUUUCCCGCCCUGAUCUGGCCACAGCGAUCCAUGCGACGGGCACCUCCAGGCUUGACUACUGUAACUCGCUCUACGCGGGGCUGGCCUUGAAGUUGUCCCAGAAACUCCAGUGGGUACAGAAUGCCACGGUGAGGCUCCUUAUGGGGUCCUCGCCGCAGGACCACAUUCACCCAGUGCUUUUCCAGCUGCACUGGCUCCUGGUCAGGUUUAAGGUGCUGGUUUUGACCUUAAAAGCCCUUUGCGGCCUAGGACCCUCGUACCUAUGGGACCGCCUCUCCUGGUAUGCCCUGCGGAGGACCUUAAGGUCCAUAAAUAGCAACACUAGAGGUCCUGGGCCCUAAGGAAGUCAGAUUUGCCUCAGCCAGGGCCAGCGCCUUUUCAAUACUGGCUCUGGUCUGGUGGAAUGCUCUGUCUCAAGAGAACAGAGUUGUUGGCUUGGAAUCAGCCUGAUCCCCUCCCCCUCUUUCCUUUUCCUUUUCCUUCUGUGAUGGAACCCCUAUUUGGCGACUUCCCUGGCUUUUUUCUGUCCCACAUAGGACCAGUCUGGAUAGUUGGCCUUGGUGAAGAUUUGACUUUUUCUUCCCCCAAACAGUUUUUGAUCUGGGCUUCCACUGAAAUGAGGCUGCAUUUUAAGUUGUAUUUUAAUCCUGUUUUUAAGUUGUAUUUUAAUCAAUUGUUUUUAUACCUGAUGUUAGCCGCCCUGAGCCCAGCCUUGGCCAGGAAGGGCGGGGUAUAAAUAAAAUUUAUUAUAAUUAUUAUUACUACUACUACUACUCCCUUUGAAGGAUCCGAUUCACAGUCUGGGUGUGCUUCUGGAGGCAGCUUUGUUACUGUAGCCUCAGUUAGCAUCAGUGGCUAGGAGUAGCUUUUAUCAGCUUCAGCUGGUUUGACAGCUAUGGCUGUUCCUGAAUAGUUUAGCUUGACAAUGGUAGUUGGUAACUUCAAAACUGAAUUACUGCAACACACUCCAUGUGGGGCUCCCCUUGAAUUUGGGCCUGAAGCUACAGUUAGCACACUUGCUGAACAGAAUGACAACCUGACACUCCUGUUCAGAACUCUGCACUGCCUGCCAAUUGUAUCCAUGCACCUAUGAUCUUAGGACUGGACUACUGCAAUGCACUCUUUGUGGGACUGCCUUUGGGCCUGAUCUUGAAGCUUAAACUAGUGCAGAAUACAGUGGUUAGGCUGCUGAUAUGGGCAGACAGCCAACAGCAUGUGACACCUCUGCUAAAAUAUCUGCACUUGCUGCCCAUAUGCUACUGGUCCAGGUUCAAAGUUCUUGUGAUAAUAUACAAAGCCCAGGACAACUUGAGCCCAGGAUAUCCUAACGGCUGCCUGUGGCAUUACAUCCAAGCUCAGUCACCAAGGCCACCUGGGGAAUAGAUGUUAGUUGCCUUCUGUGUUUCAGAAGGCUGACUAGAAGCUUCAUCCAAAAGUUGGGCAUUUAGAGUUGCUGGUCCCAUGCUAUGGGAAUACUCUUCCAGCAGAAAUUUAGCAGCCAUCAUUGCGGCCAACCUUCAGACAUAUCUUGAAGAUAUUUUUAUGUUGAAAGGCUUAUUCAGUUGCUUAAACUUUUAAAAAGUGAGCCAGCCAUUCUUAUUAUCAUUUUGUAUUGUUUGUAUGGUGCUUUAUGCCUUAUAUACUUUAAAUUUUGUUGCAUAAUACCCUGAUACUUUAUUUGAGAGGCGAUCUAUAAAUAUUCCAACAAGCAAGCAAGCAAGCAAGCAAACAAAUAAUAAACUUGCAGUAGCUCAUAUUGGUAAAGCCUCACUCCAGCAUUCUCUGUCUAAUAGGCAAUCCAGCACCAGUUAUGUCUUUCAGAUUUGCAAAAGUCAAAGAAAAUACUACAUAUUAGUACAGCAAAUCAGUACAAAUCCUGUAUUAAGCCUAGUACAGCAACUAUGCUGGCACAUCUCUACUUUUUAAACACUUUACUCCAAUAUUUUUAAUGUGGAUCUUGUAAUCAUAUUACAAAAUCUAGAAAUGAAUGUUAUAAGAUUAAUUUGACAAGGUUGCCUCAGCCUUCUUUUAUUACUCCUUUAUUACUCUACAUGGUGGUGGGCAGAAAAGAGGGUUUAUCACAUAAUGCUUUCCUCUUGAGUAAGUGGGAGUAGAGAUUACUGUCUUCACACUAGCUUGUUGUCAGCAAGAAUAGCUUGCCAUAAUUAAUUGCUACAUGAAGUAAUUUAUUCCUUUUCUGAGCUAAAUGGGUACCUUGAAGUCAAAAUGCCUCUUGCAGUAGCUCCUGGGGAUGUAUGAUGGUGUGAUGCACAAUCCACCAGGAACGUGAAAAAAACAAAACUAGUGUAUUGGUCCACAGGGGGAGGGAACCUCCAAAAUCCACAGUUGGGCAAAACCUUUAUUUGGACUAACCAGAAUGUCACAGAAGCUUCCAGAAUGCUUUGUCAGGCAGGAUGUUACACAAAGCAGGGGUGACAGGGAGGAAUAAUCAUGAUAAUCAUAAUAAUAGUUAAAAAUUAGGCCAAUGUUGUUGCCUAUCCUGACCCUCACCGCUGAAUUUCUGUUUCUACCAAAUUCUUUAAUGCACAGAUCUGAUUGAUGCAUAGGCAAGGCACGGCUUGUGAAUUACAUAGUUAAGUGUGAGCUGAAACAUUGACCCAACAAGCUACACACACUCUGUCUCUUCCUAUUCUACAAUGGAGUGGGCAUAAGCCUUAGCAUGGCAAACAACAGGUGUCUGUGCUCUGGGCAAGCAAACAGGCACUUCUGUGAGUGGGCUGAACCUGUGAGCUUUGUUUGUGCCAGUGCUGGCAUCUCCAUGUCCUUGGAGCUGGCUCAAUAUCCUACUUUCAGAUGCCUACUCCUAGCUUUGAUUCUGAUGCUGGUGAUCCCAACAUUGGGAAGCAGUGAUGUCACAGCACUGCGGCCCUUGGAGCUGAAGACUUUCACAACCACCUUCCCCUGGGCUCAAGGAACAAUGUGCCUCUCAAACUAACUUGUAGUUCAACAGCACAAGGAGCAGGUCAUGGCCAUGGAAUGUGGGAUAAGCUGCCCCUUUAAGGCAGUUCUCCAAAAGAGGUCAGAGGUAGACUGGUAGUCUUCAUUUCUGAACCUCUCAGAAAAAAAUUGUUAAUUAGGAGCUCUCCUUGGUCCUGUAACCAACCAACUUUCCAUGCUGCUUCCUCCAUGGGACCAGUAGUGGACAGGAAGGGACAAUGUCCAUUUUUUUCUCUUGAAAAAGUAUGACAGUAUUAAUUAGUAUUAAUUAGUGGUAGAUCUAUUACUGCCGCUUCACUACUGUGAAGUAUUUAAUUAAACUAUCCUGUCUGAAUUGCACUGGCUACCAAUUAGUUUCUGGUCCCAAUUUAAAGUGCUGGUUUUGACUUAUAAAGUCUUAUGUGGCUCAGGACCCCAAUACUUCAAUGCCUCUCCCCUUAUGAACUCACCUGGACCCUGCAAUCCUCUUCUGAGGUCCUUCCUCAGGUUCCUCUUCACACGGGAAGUCAAAAGAGUGGCCAAAAUCUCCCUGAAGGUGUUGAGACGUCAUUCCCGGAGGUUGGAAGCUGUCCAUGAUUGAACAUGCAACCCUGGUAGACCUUUAUCUUGUUCUGUGUUGCACAUUGCCUGGAUACCUAUGUUAAAGGCAGUACAUAAGUUUUUCUAAGGGAUAAAUAAACCAGAUUGUAACAUCCUAUGGUGUACAUUUAAAUUAGUUGCCUGCAUUGCCUUGCCAAGUGAUGAUGAGAACUUCUGAUCAGAUGCAGAACUGUGGUGUGAUUUUCUUAUUGCUUGGCAGGAGGUCUUAAUACAGUUUUUUUUUUUGAAGUUGUGAUUCAUGCCAUUGGCUGACAGUGGUGGUGGUAAAACUUACAACAUGAUGUUACUGCAUUACAUAGGGAUGGCUUCCAAAUGUUACAGCAGAGAGAGGAAGAACUCACCACAGGGAUGCUGUUUUCACCACCCUUUGCUUAGUGUGCAUACCAUUUAGCUCAGUUUCCAGACUCAACAGACCCUCACCAGUAAUCCUGUUCCAGACAUAGGGAGCAGCAUGGCAGAAAGUACAGGGGCAGGAAUGGGACAAAUGGAAGGCCUAACCUGUGCAAGAAAGGGGGGACUGAGAUUGAAGAACAUGAGGAGAGGCAGAGCGAUGGAGUUUUAAAUAAAGGCCUUGCUGGUAAAUGUUGGAAUGAAAACUAAUGCAUCCACUGGGUUGUGUGUGUUUUUUAAAAUGAAAGCAAACCUCUCUGAUACUGUCUGUUUGAUGAGAUCUCAACAGUUCUCUUCACAAUAAACUGCUUCUCUUUUUGAUAGUCUACGUCUGAGGAGAUGAACUUUCCCCCCCACAAGCAACAAAGAGCUAUAAUUAUGUCAUUGAUUAAAACCCCUUCAGAAGAAAAUACACAAACUAUACGAGAUAAGAAGAUACAAAAUAUACCAAAGCUACGCUUGUAAAAGAAUAAUAGAUUCACUGCUAACUGGAAGAGUAAAAUAGAUCACUUGGAUGGCUCUAAGUGCAAUCCUAUACAUCAGGGUGGUCCAACACAUGGCCUGUGACCCAACCCUGCUAGUGCCCUUCAGCCCUGCUAGUGCCCUUCAGCGGCUCUGCUCUUCCACCCUUUCCCAUAAGAGCUUCUCCUCCCGCUGGUUGGUUGCUUGGCCCCUCUUCCCUCAACAACAAAAGAGCGCUGCCCUCUUUUGACAGCUGGGUGGUGAGUGGCUGCCUGCCAGGGAUUGCAGGAGUUUGGGCUGGAUGACCCUUAGGGGUGCCCCUUCCAAUUCUACAGAUCCCCCCACUCAGUUAACGACUGGCCUGACGGGGCCACACGUGUGGGGAAGACGGUGGUGGCUGUGGCAACUGGCAGGCAAGUGAGGUGGAUGAGGCGGCUGUUGUCCUUCUCCUCCCCCAAACCCAUGCACUCUUCUUCAAGGGGCUCAAAUGAUUUGGACUAGAAGGCUUCUAAAAUAAUGUCAUUAUUAUUAUUAUUGUUGUUGCUAUUAUAUUUAUUUAUACCCCGCUUUUUUAUCUUGGCAGGGACUCAAUGUCCCUGACAGGGAGUUGACCUAUUAGUUGUGUAUUUAAUCAUAUAUAUUCAAUUUAAUAUAUUAAAUGUGUAUAUUAAAUAAUAUUAACUGUAAUGAAAACACAUUAAUUCAUGAUAUGUAAAUUUAAUUCCGUGUGUGACCCACAGGUUCUGUGGUGAAGUACUCUUGUGGCACACUUGGUCUGAGAGGUUGAACCACCCUACUAUAUAUCGCUACUCAAAAAUAAGUCACAUUGAAUUCAGGAAGGCUUAUGCUCAGGUAAAUGAAUUGCAGCCAGAUUUUCAGUUCCAGUGUGGUAGAACUCCCAUGAUUUUUGGAGGAUGUUUUCCCAAAUUUGCAGUAAAUUUCAUCUGAUAGAAAUUUAGCAGCAGCUGCCUUUCCUAUCACUUCACCUCUAUAAACUUCAUUAAUGAACUCCUGAAUAUCAGGAUAGAUAGAAAGAAAGAUGGCAGUCCUACUGUUGGAUUUUUGUAGACUUGAUUCUCAGUGCUUAGAAACCACAAAAGCUAGCACUCCUUACCAAAAAGAUAUGGUUUGGUUUUUUCCUGAAUCCACCAGUUAGACAGAAGAGCUUCUCCUGAAAUAAGAUGACGAUUGUUAUAUAUAUAUUUCUCUUUUUCCUUGGUCCCCAGCAUUUUCAUAUGGAUAAUACAUGAAAGCUGUUAAGCUAAAUGGUCUGUAUGAGUAAGGCUGAAACUUUUAUUUGUUAAUUUUAUAGAGCUGUUAGUUAGAGAUAAACACUUUGACUCCUACACUCAUCCUAAUCUCCAUAUGUUCAGUUAUCAUAGUCACAUAAGCACACAAGAGAAUAAAAUUUCAGGAAACAGUUAUCUGCAUGUCACAAUAAUGUUUCCUUGGAGGUUCUAAUUUCUAUCAAUAUAUUUGACUUUCAUAGCCUUACUAAUAAUUACUCACAAAAUCUAUAUACUUAGUACCAUGUUCAUAAACAAUAGAAUCUCUGCUUCUCAGUAAAGGUUUAACAGACAAAAUAAAUUGAGCUUUCAGCAAUGGGACUUUAUUACUUUUUCAGUGUGCAGCAUAAUAUUUUCACCAUGAUGGUAUGAAAUAUGUCAAAUAAACUGCUCUAAAAUAUUUUCACUACAUUCCUAAGAUUCCUUUUUGCCUGGUGCCCCAACUAAGCCAAUGAGCCCUACCCACUACUAAUACUUUGAGAAUAAGUCUCUCUGUGAUUUAUCAACCUUAGUUCUUUUUUAUUAAAUGUUUUAUUUACCAGAGAAUUGGAGAAGGGGUGGUCGUCCAGCAAUUUUUCCUUCCACCAAACCACCAAAUAUCUCAUUGCAUCUUUCAUUUAUCUCUUUUAAAAUUAAGUGUGUCAUAUGUUUGAAAAAAGCAUUUAGGGAUGGGGAGGGUAAUAUGUAGAGUUAGUUAAAGGAACUGUCUGAUGGUAUGCAUGUUUAUUCUGAAGGAUUGAGUUUAAUGCAGUCUACUUCCAAAUAAGUGUGCCUAGGAUUGCAGCCUUAGGGAAUGUUGAUGUGGAUUCACAAUGGGUCAUUAACAUUACCAUUUUCUCCUGCUAUAAAGAAUCAGAUCUUUGCAUACCUAGUCUUGAAGAUUUUCUAAUGUUUAGGCCCGACAAAGAAUGAGACGGACUCCCAUUUCUCCUGGUCAAGAGAGCCAUGAUACAGUUUGCAGGAAAGUGAACAUAAGUACAGUGGUACCUCUGGUUAAAAAUUUAAUUCGUUCUGGAGGUCCGUUCUUAACCUGAGGUACCACUUUAGCUAAUGGGGCCUCCCACUGCCGCUGUGCUGCUGCCGCCCAAUUUCUGUUCUCAUCCUGAAGCAAAGUUCUUAACCCAAGGUACUAUUUCUGGGUUAGUGGAGUCUGUAACCUGAAGCAUCUGUAACCUGAAGCAUCUGUAACCUGAGCUACCACUGUGCUGAUUCUAUAAAAAUAAUUAAUGAAAUGCUUGUGUAGCAUAGAAUUUAUUUUAUGUUUGAAGUGAGUCAAACAUAAUAUAUUCCCCCUUCCUCCACUUUCCCUCAGUGAUGUAGAUUGCAUUUGAUUUUUGAAGGCUCCAUUUUCUGGUGACAAUGCACGCUAAAAAAAUUGUUCUAAUGACUCAAUCAUCCUACACAUUGAAUUUAAAACAAGGAGGAUGCCUCAUACCUUCAAGAAUCUUUGCAAAUGGUCUGACACAAACCUCCAUCCUUAUACAAUUAUCCAUAUAUUUGGCAAAUCUUUCCUGCAUAUGGUCCCAACGUAUUAGGGACUCUGGCCACAGACUAGGGUCCUUUCAUAUAUUAGCAUGUGCUUAACUCAAUAAACUCAGCUGAACCACUACAAAUAAGCCUGCUGCCUCAGCCUCUAAAGUACAUUCUCUUGAUGAGCCCAGGUAACACGCACCACUCGUGCAUAACCCUUUAUGCUCUUUUUCUGAUAAAUAAAGUGUAAUCAUUAACAUUAAUCCUCUUUCUUAUGAGUAACAUCAUUUCCUUGACUGAUGCUCCCUUAGGCCUCUAGCCAGGUCAGUGUUUUCUCUUGACUUCCUGCCACUUGCUGUCUUUACCCACCCCCCUCCCCAAGCAAGUAGAGAUUGUGAUAGGAAGAUGCCUCACCACUUAUUUGUGUCAUCGGCUUAGUUCUCACAACUCGGUAAGCCAAACAUGUGUAAUCUCUCUGAGCACCUCCUAGCUGCUUUGCUCCUUCGCUGUCCUUUUCGCUCCUGCACUGUGCUAAGCUAAGGUUUGGGCUCAGAGUAUCAUGCAGUGGCGUAGUGUGGGUUACCAGCACCCGGAGCAAAGCAUGUAUUGCGCCCCCUAACCCAUGUACCCUGCUUGGCACACUCCCAAACAAUGUAUAUAACCAGCGUAAAGAGCACCUAGGUACUGAUGGGUGUAGGCCCUGGUUGUCGUUAUCAAUUAUUUGUGAGUUGACAGAGCAUGCACCAGCCCAAGGCUUACUCUAUGUGCUUGGAGUGUGAGAACUGCCCAAAGAGACACAGAUUAAAACAGAAUUCCAUCCUUCAAAUUCUGUAAAUCGCUUAUAGAAAGCAAGAUGUAAAGUAGAAAGGGCUAGAUUAAGGAGCCAGGGAGUUUAUAAGGAGCUGUUGUAUAUGGCAGUUCUUCAAGAUUUCAGGCAAAUAUGUUUGCUUGCUUGUUUAUUAUAUACCCCACCUUUUAUCUAAAAUGUUCAAUGUGGCUUAUGGAGUUCUCCUCUUCUAAUUUUAUCCUUGCAACAACUUUGCGAAAUAGGUUAGGCUGAGAAGCAAUGACUGGGACAAGAUCACCCAGCAAGCUUCAUGGCUGAGCGAGGAUUUGAACCCUGGUCUCACAAGUCCAGUCGAACCACUCUAACCACACAAGUGCACUCUAACCACUGUAUCACAAUUAUUCUUCAUUGUUAUUUUAAUUAUAAAUUUUAAGUAGUUUUCGACUACUUAACUACAAUCUUAUGAACUGAACCUUUGUUGUUGUUGUUUAGUCAUUUAGUUGUGUCCGACUCUUCGUGACCCCAUGGACCAGAGCACACCAGGCACUCCUGUCUUCUGAAUUGAACCCGAGAGCAUAUAAAUUCAAAGCAUGUGCUGGAUCAUUGAGUCAUGCGUUCUACCUAUGUUGCUCAGCUACUUCUCUACAAUGUUAUCAAAUAAAUGUAUUUAGCAAAAAUCCAGAACCUUUUACUCCUUUAUAGGAUCUGAUAGGAAAUGAACAAUGGUAGUAUGGCUGUAGCAGAGAGCUGAGACUUUGCACCUACAAAAGAAAUACUGUUCUGCGCAGACCAGAGUCCGUUGUCUGAUGCAUGUAUGACAGGUUGUGCAAAGAUGUAGUGAUUAUUACGGGGAC